rnacentral:ncRNA from 1 species
CUCUUGGGGUGCCGGAGACCGGGAACGGUAGUCUGGCUGAGAUUAAACCCAUGGAACCUGAACCAGAUCACGCUGGCGUAGGAAAGAGGCUG